rnacentral:lncRNA from 1 species
GGGGGAAGGGUCAGACAGAACCACUGGCACUUAGCUAGGAGUUUCAGGGCCUCUAGGAGGGACCCCCAAGAUAACAAACAUCCCUACACGUGCCCAGCCUGACCCUGCACUACCAAACUGGGAGAGGAAGAAGCCGCCUCCAUGGGUGCUGCCCAUCCGCCAGGUGCCCACCACUGACUGACCAACUGGAAUCAUCACAAGCCCCAGAGGACAACGCGAUCAUCACUCCUUACAGAAAGGAAGAAACCAGCUCAAGAGGGGCAGCCACUUGCCCAAGGCCCUGUAAGCCAGCACCAGGUGCCCAGUUUGGCCCAAAGGAGCUGGGCUGAGCCCAGGUGCUUUCUAUCCCCCUCCUCCUCCCAAGGCGUCGGGUUGCAGGUGUGGUGCGUAACGAAAGCAAUGACCCGGGUAUUCUCCGAGCAACUGCCACACACCCAGCAGUGGGGAGCACAGAGUUCCCAGAAACUGUGAGUCGCGCCGUAAUUGGCCAAACGGGAGUUCUGAGAAGAACUGGGCCGGGGCAGCCUGAAGGGGAUUGCAGAGGAGACGGGCUGGCUGUUUCCCGGAGCAGGCAGGGGCCGGGACCUGUGGGACCUCAGUCACCAGCCCCCAGUGCCACUGUUGUCCACCCUAGGCCCUCAGAGCAGAGGCAAAAAGGAGCUGGUGUCUGAGCCCUGGGGCAUUUUCAAAGACAGCCCCUGCUCCCCACCAGACCCACUGCCUGAACCAGGUGUCACCCAGACCUCCUCAGUCACCCCAUAGUCCUAAGGGGUCCCCCUGGCUCCAGGCUCCCCAGCUCAGACCCGGCCAAUCCUGCCAUCAGACAGGCUCUCCAAAGGCCCCGUUCCACCCAGACACCUCAAAAUCAAGCCCAGGGUCCUCAGCUGGGAGUUCAUGGCCAUCCACAGACUCCACCCUGCCUUGCCAAAUUUGUCUCCAGACAAACACACACCUGGUGUCAUACCUCAUGCCCAGGCCUCCCACAUCCACACUCACUGCCCCCCACCCAGGCCUCCCCACAUCCACACUCACUGUCCCCCACCCAGGCCUCCCCACAUCCACACUCACUACCCCC